GUACCCCUACUGUGUUCGUGAUUGUUGCUUCAGUUUUUGCCAACACCUAUUUAAAGGGAGAUUAUACUCUGCAUAUUGUUAUCUGUAAUCCUAAAAAGAUUUUGAAACAAUAUACAGGUUAACACCCACCUGAACAUAUCAGGUUUAAACUCUGCGACAAACACGACUCGGUGGGGAUUUU
rnacentral:other from 1 species